UGGGGAAUAUUGGACAAUGGGCGCAAGCCUGAUCCAGCAAUGCCGCGUGUGUGAAGAAGGCCUUCGGGUUGUAAAACACUUUUAUCAGGAGCGAAACGCUGUCGGCUAAUACCCGGCGGAACUGACGGUACCUGAGGAAUAAGCACCGGCUAACUUCGUGCCAGCAGCCGCGGUAAUACGAAGGGUGCAAGCGUUAAUCGGAAUUACUGGGCGUAAAGCGUGCGUAGGCGGUUUCUUAAGUCUGCUGUGAAAUCCCCGGGCUCAACCUGGGAAUGGCAGUGGAUACUGGGAGGCUAGAGUGUGUCAGAGGGUGGUGGAAUUCCCGGUGUAGCGGUGAAAUGCGUAGAGAUCGGGAGGAACAUCAGUGGCGAAGGCGGCCACCUGGGACAACACUGACGCUGAGGCACGAAAGCGUGGGGAGCAAACAGGAUUAGAUACCCUGGUAGUCCACGCCCUAAAACGAUGCGAACUGGAUGUUGGUCUCAACUCGGAGAUCAGUGUCGAAGCUAACGCGUUAAGUUCGCCGCCUGGGGAGUACGGUCGCAAGACUGAAACUUAAAUGAAUUGAC
rnacentral:rRNA from 1 species